rnacentral:tRNA from 1 species
GGCAGUGUGGUCUAGAAGAUUGAGCACUGGACUCGGACUUCAGAGUGCUAGGUUCAAAUCGUGGCUCUGCUG